GUCUCUUAGUAAAUAUUAAGAGUCAGGCCUGCCCAGUGAUUGCUUUUUAACGGCCGCGGUACCCUGACCGUGCAAAGGUAGCAUAAUCAUUUGCCUUUUAAUUGGAGGCUGGUAUGAAUGGUUUGACGAGAGUAAAACUGUCUCACACAUAUUCCUUAGAAACUAAUUUAAAGGUGCAAAAGCCUUUAUUAAUCAAAAAGACGAGAAGACCCUGUUGAGCUUUAAUUUAUACUGAAUAAUAAUUGUAUAUUUAUAUAACUAACUUAUUCACCAAGAAUUUUAAUUGGGGCGAUUAAGGAACAUCCAAAAGCUUCCUGAUUUAUAUAACAAAUAUUCCGUAGAUUAAAUCGAUCCAGCAGUGCUGAUCAACAAAAUGAGCUACCACAGGGAUAACAGCAUAAUUCUUUUUAAGAGCUCAUAUCGAAAAAAGAGCUUGUGACCUCGAUGUUGGACUAGGGUAACCGGAAGGUGCAGCCGCUUUCCCGUUUGGUCUGUUCGACCAAUAAUUCCCUACA
rnacentral:rRNA from 1 species